AUUAUCAAAACACUCUUCGCAGUAGGCUGUUGCAACGCCAAACAAACAAAUCAUGAAAGUGGAACAACUCUCGCACAACAGUUCCGAUUCGAUUUGGACUUUUACACCAAUUAGUCACAAAAUUUGUUUAAUUAAAACUAAGUGUAGCACAAAACGGCUUAAUCAAGACUGUAAAUUAAUAUUAAUUACAACUCCCAAAAAGGCUAUUCAGAUAUAACAAGCUCCUCCCGGUGAAUCGAACCCAAAAAAAAGACAUGGAGCAUGACAUUGUACGCAAGUAUUCCGACGAUCGAGUCAAAAUUUCCGGAUGGUCCGAACGCAUCCAGCAGUACCCGUACGACUGCUGCCUGUGGAACAGGGUGAGAGGAGGAGCGGCUUAUCGUACCUUCGGCUACACCACCAAACACUUCAUCCCGCGAACCACUGCGCAGGCAAUGAGCGAUACCGUCUGGGGUCACUUCCAGGAGCAGCAGCAGCAGCAUCAGCUGGCAUGCAUACGUGCGAAGGAAACGAUCCCGGCCGAGGUCAAACGAUGUCCAUACAUUACCAGCUAUCAGCGUGACUAUUUCGAUCGAUUUCCUGCCUUCCGGAAGUUGAUGAUGAUAAAUGCGCUCCAGAGUAGAAAGUGUUGAAAGACGGCAACCCACAAUACGGCGUGAGGGAUGCGGCGUCUCUAAAUUGAAAGAUGAUGAUUAUUUAUUCGCUCUCGAGUCGACAAGCGCACCAUAUGGUUUCUUUCAAUGGAUUUGGUACAUGGAAAACGGCGGGAAACAAUCAUUUUUGAGGCAAUUUUCAUGCUCCGAGGAAAGCUAGAAAAGGUAGAAGAAAAUGAGUUUCCAUUUCUCUGUUUUUACCGGGUGAAUUUUGUUCCACGAUACCAACAUCGAAGUAUGAAGCGUGCAAUUUGAUAAAUGGAAAAAAUUUAAAAAUCAUUCCAGG